rnacentral:rRNA from 1 species
GAUGAACGCUAGCUACAGGCUUAACACAUGCAAGUCGAGGGGUAACGAGAGGAAAGCUUGCUUUCCUUGUCGACGACCGGCGCACGGGUGAGUAACGCGUAUCCAACCUGCCCCCAACUAAGGCAUAACCUUGCGAAAGUAAGACUAAUACCUUAUAAUUUCCUCAGAUGUCAUCUGACGAGGAAUAAAGAUUUAUCGGUUGUGGAUGGGGAUGCGUCUGAUUAGCUUGUUGGCGGGGUAACGGCCCACCAAGGCAACGAUCAGUAGGGGUUUUGAGAGGAAGGUCCUCCACAUUGGAACUGAGACACGGUCCAAACUCCUACGGGAAGCAGAAGUGAGGAAGAUUGGUCAAUGGGCGGAAGCCUGAACCAGCCAAGUAGCGUGCAGGAUGACGGCCCUAUAGGUUGUAAACUGCUUUUAUACAGAAAUAAAGUUAGCCACGUGUGGUUAUUUGUAGGUACUGUAUGAAUAAGGACCGGCUAAUUCCGUGCCAGCCGCCGCGGUAA